AGAUUCCUGCUCUUCUCCAGCUGGAAAUUUGAAUGGUGAAGAGAGAGCACUGCCUGUGCUGAGGUGUGAGAGACUGUAGAUCCUUAAUCAGACUCCACUGUUCAUUGUCUCAAAGACUGGUCUGAGAAGCUUUGUCUCGAAGAUAGGAGGGAGGAGUUAAGACUCCAAUAUCCGUCACCUGGGAGAAGGGUGUGAGGAGCUGAACUGGCACGACACCAUCCAUUGCCUGAGAGAUGAAUGGGAAAGAGCUGACUCUUUUAUCCAUUACUUUGAGGAUUGUUGUGAGGAAUUGCUACUCAUUUUCCCAAGAAUUCCUGCAGACAUGUGUGUACAGACAUGUGCAGUUGAAGAGCUGGCUGCAAGACCAGGGAAACUGGUCCACCAGUAACAUGGAAUAUGUGGCAUGAAGAACAGAGGUACUCCUCCUAAUUCAUUAUAAAAGUGGGAAAAGGUACAUUGCCAGGGAGCUAUUGGCAUGAGGAUGACUCCAGAAGGACACCUCCGCGAGGACAGUCUCCACCGAUGACUACUAUGGACCCUGAGGGACACCCUCCAUGAGUCAUUGCCAUGAGGGCAACUCCAUGAAACACACUCUAUGGGAUACCUUCAAGGGGAUUCCAGAGGGACUCCAUGAGGACACCCACCUCUGCUCUGAUACUGACAACAAACCCUGAAGAACUCCCACCACCAAUGACAGCAACAAUGGAUUCCCAGAACACUGCUGGAUCCACAGUGUGGUUGUCUUGGCAGAGACUGCUAGCUGUAAUCACAGAUCACAGGACCACUUCAGCUAUUAAAGAAUCUCCGGAGAAUGACUAAAACACCAGAAUAAUGUACUGGGAGGAUAGUUCAUAUAACUGAAAGGUGCUCCAGAAGAGCUUCUGAAAUGUGACAGUAUAGAACAUCUGAAUGUUGAAAAGCCGUUUUACAGUUCUUUCUCCAAUGGAUGUGUUCAAGCUCAAGAUCUUGAUUCAGAUACCUCCCCCUACAGUUAUCAGGUAGCAAAAAUGAAUCCUUGCCCCUUUUUUUGUCCUGGGGGCCAGUGAAAUAAAGGCUAUGGGGUUUUUCUGGCCCAUGGGGAUGCAUUAAGUACCCGUUUGUGCUGUAUCCUCUCUUCAAGUGGGGAAUGAUUCAAACACAAGCCUUUAUGAAGACAGGACACUUAGAAGCAGUUUAAGAGAUUGCUAAUGGACAACAAACUAAGAGCUACUAACAAGCAAGCUAACAGUGAGAUAAAAUAAAAAUAAACAAAGAACUCCGAGGGUAGAUUAAAGGCUUUUCUGGUGCAGUGGACUCAAAGUCAGUAAAGAGCUCUAAUCUGAGUCACAGCAGUAGUCAUGCAGCUCUGCAGCAUGAAACACAAGGAAUCAUAGGGUAGGUGAGUCAGUACAGGGACUGAAAGCCAAAAACUGUGCACAUGCAGGUGAACACAAGUACACAUGUGGAACAAAAAACUGGAGACUUAAGGAGAAUCUGAGUUUUAAAAAUGGAAGGGAAAAGAGGGGCAGAGGGGAAGAGGAAAUGUGAGUGGUAUACCCACAUCUAUACAGGCAUCUUCUGACACCAAAACUGGUCUCCAUUCUUCUAUGCAAAUGCCAUGUUCCAGCAAACUGAAAUUAAGAAAAACAAGAUCCGUACACUAAGGAGGAAAGAAUAUGUUUUUCUCCACUCUGUUCUGUCUUCCACCUACUUUGUUUGUGUGUCCAUCUUUAAAGCAGCAGGGGACUGCUGUUUCUUUUUUGUCUCAGGGUCCCUCAAUACACAGGAGUGCCAAAUAAUCCCACACACCCUUGGAUCAGGAAUCCCUUCAGUGCAGGAAGCAGAUGUUUUUUUUUCUUUGUUUUGGGGGUUUAGGGGUUUGUUUGUUGGUGGUGGUGUUUUGUUUGUUUUUUAUUUGAACAAAGUGAAAAACAGACUGAAAAGGGAUAGAAGCAAAAAAAAACCAAACCAAAAAACAGACACAAGUUUACUUCUAAAAGCUGUUCUGGACCAGCCAGAUGAGAUCAAUUUGUCUUUUCAUUACAAAUUAACUUGAAACUUACUUUGAAUUGUAGGCAAAUAAAUAAUAAGACUGUAUGAACUUUGUAGCUUACUCCUACAUAGAAAGGGCAGGUAAGUUAGAUCACAUUUUCAUCAGUCAAAAUGAGGAAUAGCUAAAAUGUAAAGGAAGACAGUAUUGCUGCAAGAUAAAAAUUACUGCCAUAAAAAUUCUGUUUCUUUUGCAGCUGUUUCAUCCUUCAUUCAAUCCAAUGAUUUUUUUUUCUCAUUAUCUUUAGUGGCUGGCUUGUAAAACAAAACUUUCUGGGUUUGGGGUUUUUGUGCUCUUCAUAAAUAAACAAUUCUGAAUGACCAUUUCAACUGUUUUGGAGAAAGCUUGGAGUAAGCCAGCAGCUUCUUUGUUAAAUCUGUUGUGAAGCUAACAUGCAAGUGCUUCUGUAUAUCAAAUGAGAAGGACUUGAUGAAGAGACCAGUGGUCCCUUUCCUCAUGUCCUAAGUGUCAUUUUCUUUUCAGAUGCUACAGAACAGCCUCAGGAUUCUAAUCCCCAACUUUUGCACACAUUUUAUCAAUAUAUUAUUUUUUUGCUUAUGAGCAUCUAUAAUGACUUUUGUUUUGCUUCAGUGAAAGAAGCAGUGAAGUGACAAACUUCAAAACAAAGGCAUCAUUUAUAUAUGACACAUUAUAUGUUUGAAGAACUUGAAGAACUUUUUGGUUUAAAGCCAAACAUUCAGAGGUCAAGGAAGGCCAGAAUGAAAAUUGCCUGGGCAAACUUAAUCAGGCAAUACAGGCUUUCAUUACAUGAAUGCACACAAUCAUUUUUUGUUAGACUCCUAUCAUCACUUGGCUAUUGUAUUGUGCCCAUUACUGUGUACUAUGCACAACCUGGUUUU